GUAAAUUCACGAGUAAAUAAAUAUACCUGAAAAGCAAGCGUAAGAGAUGAUAAAUGCAGAUGAUAGAUACAGUUUUAAAUACAGAUUUUUUUUCGUUGUCACAGGAUGAAUAUCGCAGACUAAUGUAACACAUGUAAAAAGUUGAGAAAUAGGUUAUAACCAAUAUAUCCACCAAUCAUAUUUCGUUUACCUUUAUAUAAAUAAAAGAUUUCAAAGAUGAACACAGCAAUUGAUAACAUUUACCAUAUAAAUACCAACGGUAAUUUUUUAAACGACAUAAAAAAGUUUAUUAAAUGACAGGUGCCAUACUUCAAGCUGUUAUCUUGCUCAACUUGGUUAUCUUUUCGUUAACAGCAACGAACUGCGAAUAUUUUAGAUGGAGUGGUUGCUUUGAACCUGAAGUUAGCAAAGACAAAAAGAUCAAUGAGUUUGUUGCUAAAAUAGGGGAGUUUUUUCAGUACAAAUUGCAAGGAAAAACACUGGUUGAUAAAAAGAAAAGCCCAAAAAACAGAAAAAUUAAAAUGAAAUAGUAACGAGACAAAGAAUUUAUGAAAAAUUCUUAGAACUGUUUUAACUUAUUAACUAAAAAAAACUAAAAUCAGAAAACAGAAAAAUAUCUAUAAAAAAUAGCUUGUUAUAUCUUAUAGAUGAUUUCACAUUAUGUAUGUAAAUAUUUUAAGUUUAUUAAAUAAAUUUUAAUAUUUUAUCAAGGUUAUAUAUAUCAA